rnacentral:tRNA from 1 species
UUCUCCAUAGUCUAGUGGUUAGGAUACAAGCUUGUCACGCUUGGGACCCGGGUUCAAUUCCCGGUGGGGAAG